rnacentral:rRNA from 1 species
GACGAACGCUGGCGGCGUGCCUAAUACAUGCAAGUAGAACGCACAGUUUAUACCGUAGCUUGCUACACCAUAGACUGUGAGUUGCGAACGGGUGAGUAACGCGUAGGUAACCUGCCUGGUAGCGGGGGAUAACUAUUGGAAACGAUAGCUAAUACCGCAUAAUAUUGAUUAUUGCAUGAUAAUUGAUUGAAAGAUGCUAUUGCAUCACUACCAGAUGGACCUGCGUUGUAUUAGCUAGUAGGUGAGGUAACGGCUCACCUAGGCGACGAUACAUAGCCGACCUGAGAGGGUGAUCAGCCACACUGGGACUGAGACACGGCCCAGACUCCUACGGGAGGCAGCAGUAGGGAAUCUUCGGCAAUGGACGAAAGUCUGACCGAGCAACGCCGCGUGAGUGAAGAAGGUUUUCGGAUCGUAAAGCUCUGUUGUAAGAGGAGAACGGGUGUGAGAGUGGAAAGUUCACACUGUGACGGUAUCUUACCAGAAAGGGACGGCUAACUACGUG